rnacentral:rRNA from 1 species
GACAGAGGGGGCAAGCGUUGCUCGGAAUUACUGGGCGUAAAGGGCGCGUAGGCGGGAUGGCAAGUCGGUUGUGAAAUCCCUCGGCUCAACUGAGGAUCGUCGAUCGAUACUGCCGUUCUUGAGGAUUGCAGAGGAGACUGGAAUUCCCGGUGUAGCGGUGAAAUGUGUAGAGAUCGGGAGGAACACCAGUGGCGAAGGCGACUUCCUGGCCUGUUCUUGACGCUGAGGCGCGAAAGCUAGGGGAGCAAACGGG